AGUCACUGACAUUAGAUACCCCCGUAGUCCCAGCCGUAAACUAUGCGCGUUAGGUGUGUCGGUAACCACGCGUUACUGAUGCGCCGAAGAGAAAUCGUGAAACGCACCACCUGGGAAGUACGGUCGCAAGGCUGAAACUUAAAGGAAUUGGCGGGGAGCACCACAACAGGUGGAGCCUGCGGUUUAAUUGGAUUCAACGCCGGACAUCUCACCGGAUAAGACAGCUGAAUGAUUGUCAAUCUGAAGGUUUUACAUGACUAGCUG
rnacentral:rRNA from 1 species